rnacentral:lncRNA from 1 species
GGAAGCUCGGUUGGGGUUUCUGCAGAAGUUUCCCCCUUGGGCGGUGGCGGAGCUGAUAAGCGCGCUAGUAGCAGCUCUGGCAGAAGCAACGGUGGCUUCGAGGGAUGGCGGCGGCUGCAACAGGACCUGCAGCAUCCCAGAGGAACUGACUAAGGCUUUGGAACAGAAACCAGAUGAUGCACAAUAUUAUCGUCAAAGAGCUUAUUGUCACAUUCUUCUUGGGAAUUACUGUGGUGCAGAUGCUAAUUUCAGUGACUGGAUUAAAAGGUGUCGAAGCUCAGAAUGGCUCGGAAUCUGAGGUGUUUGUGGAGAAUUAUGAGACCCUCGUGUUUUACUGGCCCUCGCUGCUGUGCCUUGCCUUCCUGCUGGGCCGCUUCCUGCAUAUGUUUGUCAAGGCUCUGAGGGUGCACCUCGGCUGGGAGCUCCAGGUGGAAGAAAAAUCUGUCCUGGAAGUGCACCAGGGAGAGCACGUCAAGCAGCUCCUGAGGAUACCCCGCCCUCAAGAGAAAAAAAAGUCUUGGUUCCAAACCAGGAUAUAUGAGUGGGAUCCCUGCUUUCAAUUUCCAAGCAGAAUGAUUGGAACCAUUGUGUUGGCAUUCAUCUGCCUGUAUCUUUUCAUUGUCAUCGAGUUCUGCGUGUUUGUGUACGUGAGAGAUGAGUUGGAUGUGCUUGAAAACAACCUGGAAAGCUACAUCACCUUCACGAACCAUUCAGGGGUCCUGACCCCAGUCAUCCUGCAGGUGAAAGAGCUGAUCAGUGUCACCAAAGGAGUCUGGGUGGCGACCAUUUUGCCCGCGUAUCUCACGUGUGUGAGCUAUCUGUUCCACAUUUUGGUCUGUUACAGAAAGCACAUGAAGAGGCUAUGGGCAGGAGAUAAACAUUUUCUUCCUUUGAAGUUCCAUAACCCGGCCUCGUCGGAGAGCAUGGUGGCCAUUGCAAGGUACUCUGGCUGGCAAAUAGCCUAUAUUCUGUGGGGCUACCUCAUCAUUCACAUGGUACAGAGCCUAUGUGGCAUGGCAAUCAUGUACAGCCUGGUGCUACCCAUCGUCCAAACCAGGGCCUGGAAAUGCUGCAAGGGCUGGGCAUUGGGAUGAAAGCGUUCCACAACUUCAACUACUUUCUGUUCUUCUACAACGUGCUGCUGGGCCUGGGUGCCUGCCUUUCCAGGCUGCUCAUCAGUUGCCUCCUCGGCAUGUGGCUGAUUGCCCGCAUCGACAGGACCAUCAUGCAGAGUGGCUAUGAGGGAGCAGACAUGGGGUUCAGUGCAUGGAUUGGGAUGCUCUACAUGGACCAUUAUCACAUCAACCCUGUGCUUGUCAGCUUUUGCCACAUCCUGAUCACAAAUCACAGGGAGAAGAAGCUGCAGCAGAGCACCAAAUACUGGUGCCUAAAUCAAUCGGCAGAGUCCCUUCGGAUUUGCGCCAUGCGCGGCGGGGAGAACCGGCCUCCUGCUCGAGUUCAGAGCUCAUCUGAGGAAUUGGAAUUGAGACACCAAAGCCUAGACGCGUUUCCUGGACGACGGCUUCCCGGCAGGGGCAUCCAGCCAGCGGCCAAGAUGUCGUCAGUGGGGAAGGUGACCCAGGUUCCGAAUGGGAAAGCCUACCAGCAGAUCUUCCAGGCUGAGGUGCAGCUGGUCCACUCCCUGGCGGCCACCAGGAAGCGGGCUGCAGAGCGUUCUGUGACCCUGAAGAGUGGCAGGAUACCCAUGAUGAAGAAGGUGGAGACUCCUGAAGGGGAGGUGAUGUCUCCCCGACAGCAGAAGUGGAUGCACAGCCUCCCCAACGACUGGAUCAUGGAAAACCCUGUUCUCCACAGGGAAAAGGAAAGAGCCAAGAGGGAAAAAGCCCGAGAGAGUGAGAACACCAUCGCUGCCCGAGAAGUGCGGGGUCUCAUGGAUACUAUAGUUCCUGAGAAGAUAAGCACCAGCACCUUUCAAAGGCAAGCAGAACACAAGAGGAAGAGCUACGAGAGCGCUCUGGCCAGCUUUCAGGAGGAGAUUGCGCAGGUGGGAAAGGAAAUGGAACCUCUCAUCGUGGACACAGGGGGACUUUUUUUGAAGAAGCUGACUGAGUCUGAUGAAGAAAUGAACCGUCUCUUCCUAAAGGUGGAAAAUGACACCAACCUUGAGGACUACACCAUCCAAGCCCUGCUGGAGCUGUGGGAUAAGGUGGCCGGGCGGUUACUGCUCCGGAAGCAGGAGAUUAAGGAGCUGGAUGAGGCCCUGCACUCGCUGGAGUUCUCCCGAACCGAUAAACUAAAAAGCGUGUUGAAGAAAUAUGCAGAAGUCAUAGAGAAAACUUCCUACCUCAUGCGGCCCGAAGUGUACAGGCUGAUAAAUGAAGAAGCCAUGGUCAUGAACUAUGCCCUGCUGGGCAACCGGAAGGCUCUCGCCCAGCUGUUUGUCAACCUGAUGGAGUCCACCCUGCAGCAGGAGCUGGACAGCCGCCACCGCUGGCAAGGCUUGGUGGACACCUGGAAGGCUCUCAAGAAGGAGGCCCUGCUGCAGAGUUUCAGUGAGUUCAUGGCCAGUGAGAGUAUCCAUACUCCCCCGGCUGUGACGAAGGAGCUAGAGGUCAUGCUGAAGACCCAGAACGUCCUGCAGCAAAGGCGGCUGAAGCAUCUCUGCACCAUCUGUGACCUCCUGCCCCCCAGUUACAGCAAAACUCAGCUGACUGAGUGGCAUUCUUCCCUCAACUCCCUGAACAAGGAGCUAGACACCUACCACGUGGACUGCAUGAUGCGGAUCCGCCUGCUGUAUGAGAAGACAUGGCAGGAGUGCCUGAUGCAUGUGCAGAAUUGUAAGAAGCAGCUGCUGGACUGGAAAGCCUUCACUGAGGAGGAGGCAGAGACCCUGGUGAACCAGUUCUUCUUCCAGAUGGUGGGAGCACUCCAGGGCAAAGUGGAGGAGGACCUGGAGCUCUUGGACAAAUCCUUCGAGACUCUGGCAGAUCAGACAGAGUGGCAGAGUUCACACCUCUUCAAGUAUUUCCAGGAGGUGGUACAACUGUGGGAGGCACACCAGAGCGAGCUGUUGGUGCAGGAGCUGGAGCUGGAGAAGAGGAUGGAGCAGCACCGGCAGAAGCACAGCCUGGAGAGCCAGGUGCAGGAGGCCCACCUCGAUAGGCUCUUGGACCAACUGAGGCAGCAAAGUGACAAAGAAACACUGGCGUUUCACCUGGAAAAGGUCAAAGAUUAUCUGAAGAACAUGAAAUCCAGGUAUGAAUGUUUUCACACCCUCCUGACAAAGGAAGUGAUGGAGUACCCAGCGAUCAUGCUGAAAGAACUCAACUCCUACAGCUCUGCCCUCAGCCAAUACUUCUUUGUGCGUGAAAUCUUUGAACAGAACUUGGCUGGAGAAGUCAUUUUCAAAUUCAGGCAACCAGAAGCACAUGAAAAACCCUCCCAGAAGAGAGUGAAAAAACUGAGGAAGAAGCAAGGGUCUAAAGAGGACAUGACCAGAAGUGAGGAAAGCAUAAGUAGUGGGACAAGUACUGCCAGGUCAGUAGAAGAGGUGGAAGAAGAAAACGAUCAAGAAAUGGAGUCCUUCAUAACUGAAGAGGUGCUGGGGCAGCAGAAAAAAUCUCCACUGCAUGCUAAGAUGGAUGAGUCCAAAGAAGGCUCUAUUCAGGGACUGGAAGAAAUGCAGGUUGAAAGAGAGGGCUCCUUAAACCCAUCCCUGAAUGAGGAGAAUGUGAAGGGUCAAGGAGAAAAGAAGGAGGAGUCAGAGGAGGAAGAUGAGAAGGAGGAAGAGGAGGAGGAGGAGAAGCUGGAGGAAGAGAAGGAGGAGAAGGAGGCACAGGAAGAGCAAGAGAGUUUAUCUGUGGGUGAGGAAGAAGACAAGGAAGAGGGUCUAGAGGAGAUAUACUAUGAGGACAUGGAGUCCUUCACAAUCUCCAGUGGAAACACUUAUUUUGUCUUUGUACCCCUGGAAGAAGAGCAUUGUAGGAAGUCCCAUUCCACCUUCUCAGCCAUGUUCAUCAACGACACUUCCAGUGCCAAGUUCAUAGAACAAGUGACAAUUCCAUCGAGACUAAUUUUAGAAAUUAAGAAACAACUUCGAGCUGGCUUCUUCGAGCACCUUGAGAAGUGGUUUGACCAGUGUUCCCUCAACACCCGGGUCACCGUGGCCACCAAAAUCAAUGAGCUGGAUUCAGAACUGGAGCUGCAUCUGCACCUGCACCAGCCAAGAGCCCAGCAGAUUGAAAAAGACAUCCACAACGUCAGGGCAGCCGAGCUUUUGCUUCAUCAAGAGCAGUUGGACAGCCACUGUGCUGGGGUGACCGAGACGCUGAAGAAGAAGCGGCUGAUGUUCUGCCAGUUCCAAGAAGAGCAAAACGUGAGGAGCAAAAACUUCCGCCUUAAGAUCUAUGACAUGGAGCACAUCUUCUUGAAUGCCACCAGGAGCCAAAAGCUGGUCACUCUCAGCAACACACUGCACCAGGAGUUGCUUAGCUAUGUUGAUGUCACCCAGGUGUCCCUGCGCAGCUUCCGGCAGUACUUGGAGGAGAGUCUGGGCAAACUCCGCUACUCAAAUAUUGAGUUCAUCAAACACUGCAGAUUGUUUUCAGAGGGAGGCAACUUUUCUCCUAAAGAAAUCAAUUCACUGUGUUCCCGACUGGAGAAGGAAGCUGCCCGGAUAGAGUUGGUUGAAAGUGUCAUCAUGCUCAACAUGGAGAAGUUGGAGAAUGAGUACCUGGACCAGGCCAAUGAUGUCAUCAACAAGUUUGAAAGCAAAUUCCAUAACCUGUCUGUGGACCUUAUUUUCAUAGAGAAAAUCCAGCGGUUGCUGACGAAUCUGCAAGUGAAAAUCAAGUGCCAGGUGGCAAAAUCCAAUUCGCAAACAAAUGGAUUAAAUUUCUCUCUGCAACAGCUUCAGAACAAGAUAAAAACUUGUCAAGAGUCCAGGGGAGAGAAAACCACAGUGACCACAGAAGAACUCCUCAGCUUCGUCCAAACUUGGAAGGAAAAACUGAGCCAGAGGAUUCAGUACCUUAACUGCAGCCUGGACAGGGUGUCCAUGACUGAACUGGUCUUUACCAACACCAUCCUGAAGGACCAGGAGGAAGACAGUGACAUCCUGACAUCUUCAGAAGCCCUUGAAGAGGAGGCCAAGCUGGACGUGGUCACCCCUGAGUCCUUCACCCAGCUGAGCCGCGUGGGGAAGCCCCUGAUUGAGGACCCAGCUGUGGAUGUGAUCAGGAAGCUCCUGCAACUUCCCAACACAAAAUGGCCAACCCACCAUUGUGACAAAGAUCCGUCCCAGACAGGUAGAGGCGCAUGGGCCUGUGGGUCUCGGGGCAGCAGUGAGGCAGGGGCUGGUGGUGCUGUGUGCUCACCUCCUGUCCUCUGCUCCUGUCCUGGGCCCUCGUCACCCAAAGGCUUCAAGCGACAUCGGUGCCAGCCAGAAAACUCUGGGAAGAAGGCUGUACCCAGUGCCAGUGCUACCUCUGCAGGCAGCUUCACACCGCACCCCAAGCCCAACAAAAUGGAGAGAAAGUACCGGGUGCUUGGGGACAAGCCUCCCCCUGCUGCCGAGGAUUUUAAGGGGAUCAUCUUGACCCUCCUCUGGGAGAGCAGUGAGAACCUGCUGACAGUCGCAGAGGAGUUCUACCGUAAAGAAAAACGCCCAGUCACCAGGCCUGACUGCAUGUGUGACACCUUUGACCAGUGCGCCGAGAACAUUAGCAAAAAGAUCCUGGAGUAUCAGAGCCAGGCAAAUAAGUACCACAACUCCUGCCUCAUAGAAUUACGGAUCCAGAUCAGGAGAUUUGAGGAGCUGCUGCCCCAAGUGUGUUGGCUGGUGAUGGAGAAUUUCAAGGAACACCACUGGAAAAAGUUUUUCACCUCUGUGAAGGAGAUCCGAGGACAGUUCGAGGAACAGCAGAAGCGGCUGGAGAAAAGAAAGGACAAAAAUGCCCAGAAGCUCCAUCUAAAUCUUGGACACCCCGUACAUUUCCAAGAAAUGGAGUCUCUACACUUAAGUGAAGAGGAAAGGCAGGAAGAGCUGGACAGCAUGAUUAGGAUGAACAAGGAGAAGCUGGAGGAAUGUACCAGAAGGAAUGGCCAGGUUUUCAUAACCAACUUGGCCACCUUCACCGAGAAGUUCCUACUGCAGUUGGAUGAGGUGGUCACCAUUGACGAUGUCCAGGUUGCAAGGAUGGAGCCCCCCAAACAGAAAUUAUCAAUGCUCAUACGAAGGAAACUCGCUGGGCUCUCCCUGAAGGAAGAGAGUGAGAAACCCCUGAUUGAACGUGGAAGCAGGAAGUGGCCAGGGAUCAAACCCACCGAAGUCACCAUCCAAAACAAGAUUCUUCUCCAGCCAACAUCAUCGAUUUCCACCACCAAAACCACCCUGGGCCACCUGGCGGCCGUGGAAGCCCGAGAUGCUGUGUACCUGAAAUAUUUAGCAUCAUUUGAGGAGGAGCUAAAGAGGAUCCAGGAUGACUGUACAUCUCAGAUAAAGGAGGCUCAGCGCUGGAAGGACAGCUGGAAGCAGUCCCUGCACACUAUCCAAGGCCUGUAUGUGUGACCCUCCGCCCCACCAUGAAUAAACACUUUCUUAUACAGACUCCUUCCCUGUCCAUCUACCUGCCUACCUACUUUCCGUCCAUCCCUCCCUCCCUUCAUCCCUCCACCCCUGCUCUGUGCCGGGCACUGUAGCUUUACCAGCGAACAGGACACAGCAUGGUCCCUGCCCACGUGGAGCCCUCUUCCCAUGAGGAAGGCAAGCAUGAAAGGGGAAUUCCACGUGGUUAGCAGGGAGGGUGAGUACCAGGAAUCAGUCACUUCAAAUAGGCACCAGAGCUUCAAAGGACAUCACCUCCAAACAGCAUGCUGGGCAGGGCACGUCAUCUUGAAAAAUGAAAUAAAGGUCAUGGGAAAAUGAUAUUUUAAUUUAACAGAAUAAACAAGUAUGGGUUAUAAUUGCAA